GACGAACGCUGGCGGCGCGCUUAACACAUGCAAGUCGAACGGAAAGGCCCUGCUUUUGUGGGGUGCUCGAGUGGCGAACGGGUGAGUAACACGUGAGUAACCUGCCCUUGACUUUGGGAUAACUUCAGGAAACUGGGGCUAAUACCGGAUAGGAGCUCCUGCUGCAUGGUGGGGGUUGGAAAGUUUCGGCGGUUGGGGAUGGACUCGCGGCUUAUCAGCUUGUUGGUGGGGUAGUGGCUUACCAAGGCCUUGACGGGUAGCCGGCCUGAGAGGGUGACCGGCCACAUUGGGACUGAGAUACGGCCCAGACUCCUACGGGAGGCAGCAGUGGGGAAUAUUGCACAAUGGGCGGAAGCCUGAUGCAGCAACGCCGCGUGCGGGAUGACGGCCUUCGGGUUGUAAACCGCUUUCGCCUGUGACGAAGCGUGAGUGACGGUAAUGGGUAAAGAAGCACCGGCUAACUACGUG
rnacentral:rRNA from 1 species